rnacentral:rRNA from 1 species
AUUGAACGCUGGCGGCAGGCCUAACACAUGCAAGUCGAGCGAGCGGCGGACGGGUGAGUAAUGUCUGGGUAACUGCCUGCUGGAGGGGGAUAACUACUGGAAACGGUAGCUAAUACCGCAUACCAUCAGAUGUGCCCAGAUGGGAUUAGCUAGUAGGGGGGGUAACGGCUCACCUAGGCUACGAUCCCUAGCUGGUCUGAGAGGAUGACCAGCAAAAAUGGAGCUGAGCAACGGUCCAGACUCCUACGGGAGGAAGCAGUGGGGAAUAUUGCACAAGGGGCGCAAGCCUGAUGAAGCAAUGCCGCGUGUGUGAAGAAGGCCUUGGGGUUGUAAAGCACUUUCAGCGGGGAGGCGUUACCCGCAGAAGAAGCACCGGCUAACUCCGUGCCAGCAGCCGCGGUAAUAC